rnacentral:lncRNA from 1 species
AUGAAAUUGUGCAGGGCUGAGACACCUGAAUUUUUCCUCGAAUACAUGAAAGGAAAUUCUGUGCCUGAACCUCUCAGACCUUCUCCCAGUGGAAUUCCUUUUGAGUGUUCAUAUCUCAAAACCUUAUGUAACCUGACACAAUUACCUGAAAAAGCUCGGAAUCCAAAGAACACUGUUAUCAGUUGUUCCGCCAAGAAAAGACCUGAAUCAGGGGUGACAGAAGCUGUCAAGGAAGCAAGUUUUGGAAUUAAUAUUAAUAAUCAAGUUGCCUUAAUUCUGCCUUUGGGAGACAUAUUUUUAAUCCAGAAGCAAAUAGAAAAGAUUGGUUAUCUUUUGCCUAGUAAUGUCCACUGAAUAAUGCCAAUCUUCUAGCUGAAGGCCAGGGGCAACGAUGCCUGGUGGUUAGGAGCUGUGUUGGCUGGCUGUGUGGCCUCGAACAUAGCAAUUAACUUCUGUAGGUCUUUCUCUUUAGUAGUUUAGAAGUUGCUCCAGAGGGAUGAUUCAAGGAUAGUAAAUAAAAUAAAGCAUAAGCAAGUUGAGCAGAAGGACUGGCAUGCAACAAACACAAUAAAUGUGGAAGAUUAUUAAUAACUCCAAAUCAUACCAGCAGAUCCAAGAAGGAUAUCACCCAGAGUCAGCCAAGAAGUCUAAGUGCUGUCAGCUGGCACUUGCUUUUCCCCUGGGGCUAGUCCAGAAAACAGAAUGUGAGCUCUGUUUCCCACCUCCACCUCUGGGGACCUUGAUCUCCAUAUAUCUGCCUUCUAUCCUGGAGACAGACAAUUCAGAGGAGGAUACCAGGUACAAUUUCAAAUCUAAGUGGUGCUCCUGGCUUCCUGCAUCUUACUGUCCCCUCUUCCUGGUAACUAAAGGGCUGAAUCUCCAGGUACACAGACUAAAUGGGAUACCUCUGAAAAACUAGGGAUUUGGUUCCUACCCAGGGCACUCCAGGGCUCGGAUGCCACAUGUGUGAUGUGCUGGAGCUGAUGGGCAUCCAGCAGCCCCUGGCCUCAGGCUUUGCAUGCCCACAAGUGCCUCACACUCAGGUUGUCUAAAUGAGACUUUUGUUUCUGUUCAUCAUCUGGAUACAGCAACAAGACUUCCAACCUCCAUUCUUCCUACUUUCCCCAAAUGGGACAUAGGUCUCAUUUGCUUAAGACCAUCCUAAGCUCUCAUUUGCCCCUAGAGUGAUACCUAAGAGGCCAUGUAUGUAGCUUUGCACUAACAUAGUUCUUGCCAGCAGACUUUGUAUUCAAAUAUAUCUGAGUCAGGAUGUUGGGGCUGGUCCAAGUAUACUUGUGUUUGAGACCUUGAGAGACUUUUAUGGACCUAGAAGCCUUGGUUCCCUUGAAUGUAAAAUGGAGGUAACGAGAUGUCUAUAAAGAGUUAUGUUGAAACCUCUUUACCCAACCCAGGUCCUGCGACAGCACAAGAGGCUCUGAGGCUCUGCAUGGAAUGAAGGCUGAGGAUGUGGUGGCUGAAAGACUCAGAGAUGAUGAGACUAGCUUUAGACAUGCUGGAUAUGUACAUGGGGCCAAUGUGUGUCCAAGGGAGGCAUCCAGGGCAGCUGGCUGUGUGGGCCUGGAGUUAAGAGGGAAGCCUUGGCUGGAGAGCAAGAAAGCAUGGGUGUCACCAAUAUGAGUAGGAAGAUGAGCUCAUUAUUGGGUGGGGGGAGUGAGCACAAAGGCCUCUGCAGUCACAGGCUCACCCACAAGAAAUACAAUCUCUUGAAGAAGGUGAAAAGAGAAAGGCAGAGAGGUAGGAGGAAACUCAGCAAUGAUGGCUUCACAGACAUCAAAAGAAACAGGACUUGAGGCAGUCAAGAGAGGUCAACAGGGCAGAGACUUCAAGGAGGCCAAGUUAGCAGAAGGCAGAGAUGGAUGGCUCUACGGUAUUUGAGGACUAGGAGGUCAUUUAUUGGUUACAUCUGGAGAGGUCAGGAUGGGAAAAUGACUCCAGGCUAAAGUGGGGGAGGGUGAGCAGUGAUGUAGACUGUAGACAGCUUUCAAGAAAUGGGCAGAGACUUCAAGGAGGCCAAGUUAGCAGAAGGCAGAGAUG